UGAAGAUGAAAACUUGGUUAUGGCUAGCGAUGGCUCUGGGAUGUUAUGAGCAACGCAGAGAUUGUUUGCAUAAUAAAGGACACAGUGAAAGAGCCUAGGAUGUGCUCAAAGAGAUUGGCAACCGAAGCUGCUGAACGUGGAAGCAAAGG